GGGGAUUUAGCUCAGUGGUAGAGCGCUUGCCUAGCAAGCAGAAGGUUCUGGGUUUGGUCCUCAGCUCUGGAGAAAAAAAAAAGUGCACUGACUGCUCUUCCAGAGGUCCUGAGUUCAAUUCCCAGAAGCCACA
rnacentral:tRNA from 1 species